rnacentral:piRNA from 1 species
GCAACACAGAACCUGUAAAAGCCAAAGA